rfam:Aedes aegypti strain Liverpool supercont1.95 genomic scaffold, whole genome shotgun sequence.
UCUCUCGUGGCGUAGGGGUAACGUGCCUUAGCUAGAGAACAGGAAGUCGUGAGUUCGAUUCUCACCGAGAGGA